CGAGUGGCGGACGGGUGAGUAAUGUCUGGGAAACUGCCCGAUGGAGGGGGAUAACUACUGAAACGGUAGCUAAUACCGCAUAACGUCGCAAGACCAAAGAGGGGGACCUUCGGGCCUCUUGCCAUCGGAUGUGCCCAGAUGGGAUUAGCUAGUAGGUGGGGUAACGGCUCACCUAGGCGACGAUCCCUAGCUGGUCUGAGAGGAUGACCAGCCACACUGGAACUGAGACACGGUCCAG
rnacentral:rRNA from 1 species